UCGUUGUUCCGCAUGUGCUUCUGAUAUGUGCCAAUGUUAUUGUUCAUACUACCCUUUUGUACUCUGGUGUCUUGUGGGAUAUUGUGAACCUUUGCCAGAAAUGGUAAAGGGAGUUAUGCUUAGAGCCCGCGAUUGCUCUGCCGGCCCCAUUGACUUCACUCAGACGUGGGUGGAUGGAGCUCCCAGACGUGGGAGACUUAUGCUUGGUGGUCAUCCAGAAAUGGAUG
rnacentral:lncRNA from 1 species